UGCGCUGUGGUGUAAAGGUAACACAUCAGAUUUUGGUCCUGAUAUUUCAGGUUCGACCCCUGACAGCGCAA
rnacentral:tRNA from 2 species